AGCUAAUUGGACUCCUUAAAGGGAACCUGUCAUCAACUUUAUGCUGACCUCACUGAGGGCUGCAUAAAAUAGUAACAGAAAUUAGCUAAAAGUAAGUGGUUGCUGCAUCAUAAUCAUUGCAGCCCAGGC